rnacentral:rRNA from 1 species
AUGUCGCCCUUCGGGAAGUUCUUGUUCUGCUUGACCCUGUUGGCCGCAUGGCGCCUCAGCUCGACCCUGUUCGCCGAGGCGCCUCCAGCUCCUGGUGUCGACUCCGCCUCCAGAAACGCAUCGUGCUUGGCCCUCGCCAGGGAGGCCGGCGUCCGGGCGGAAGGCGGCACGGCGCGCAACUUCGUCAUCUCGCCGCUGUCCAUCCACGCGGCGCUCGCGAAGGUGGCCGCGGGCGCGCGGGGCGACACGCUUAACGAGCUCCUGCGGUUCCUCGGGUCGGCGUCGCUCAACGAGCUGCACCGCGCGGCGGCGACCAAGCUCGUCGGCAGGCUCAACGGCAUAGCGCAGACGUCCUUCGCCAGCGGCGUGUGGGUGGACCGGAUGCUGGCGCUCAAGCCAGAGUUCACGGCCAUCGCCGCGUCGCGGUACAACGCCACGGCAGAAUCCGUGGACUUCGUGUCGGGGGCCGAGCAGGCGAGGCAGCGCGUGAACGCCUUCGUGGCGGACGCGACCAACAAGCACAUCCUCGAAGUCCUGCCUCCGGGCUCCGUCGGCUCCGGCACGGCGGUCGUCCUCGCCAACGCUCUCUAG